rnacentral:rRNA from 1 species
AGUGAACGCUGGCGGUAGGCCUAACACAUGCAAGUCGAACGGCAGCACAGUAAGAGCUUGCUCUUACGGGUGGCGAGUGGCGGACGAGUGAGGAAUACAUCGGAAUCUACUUUUUCGUGGGGGAUAACGUAGGGAAACUUACGCUAAUACCGCAUACGACCUACGGGUGAAAGCAGGGGAUCUUCGGACCUUGCGCGAUUGAAUGAGCCGAUGUCGGAUUAGCUAGUUGGCGGGGUAAAGGCCCACCAAGGCGACGAUCCGUAGCUGGUCUGAGAGGAUGAUCAGCCACACUGGAACUGAGACACGGUCCAGACUCCUACGGGAGGCAGCAGUGGGGAAUAUUGGACAAUGGGCGCAAGCCUGAUCCAGCCAUACCGCGUGGGUGAAGAAGGCCUUCGGGUUGUAAAGCCCUUUUGUUGGGAAAGAAAAGCAGCAGGUUAAUACCCCGCUAUUCUGACGGUACCCAAAGAAUAAGCACCGGCUAACUUCGUG